rnacentral:rRNA from 1 species
AUACGUAGGGAGCGAGCGUUGUCCGGAAUUACUGGGUGUAAAGGGAGCGUAGGCGGGAGUGCAAGUCAGAUGUGAAAUACAUGGGCUCAACCCAUGGGCUGCAUUUGAAACUGCAUUUCUUGAGUGAAGUAGAGGUAAGCGGAAUUCCUGGUGUAGCGGUGAAAUGCGUAGAUAUCAGGAGGAACACCGGUGGCGAAGGCGGCUUACUGGGCUUUUACUGACGCUGAGGCUCGAAAGCGUGGGGAGCAAACAGGAUCAGAUACCCUGGUAGUCCACGCUGUAAACGAUGAUUACUAGGUGUGGGGGGACUGACCCCUUCCGUGCCGCAGUUAACACAAUAAGUAAUCCACCUGGGGAGUACGGCCGCAAGGUUGAAACUCAAAUGAAUUGACGGGG